rnacentral:rRNA from 1 species
UACGUAUGGUGCAAGCGUUAUCCGGAUUUACUGGAUGUAAAGGGAGCGCAGGCGGCACGGCAAGCCUGAUGUGAAAGCCCGCGGCCCAACCGCGGGACUGCAUUGGGAACUACCGGGCUGGAGUGCCGGAGAGGUAGGCGGAAUUCCUAGUGUAGCGGUGAAAUGCGUAGAUAUUAGGAGGAACACCAGUGGCGAAGGCGGCCUACUGGACGGUGACUGACGCUGAGGCUCGAAAGCGUGGGGAGCAAACAGG